AUUUUCCUGAUUUCCAGGGAGAUUGCCUCCAUCGAACGAACAAUGCUCUACCUCGCCGAAUCCGCCGACAAUCACAUCCCGCGUUUUUCGCAUCCCGCUUUGUGUUUCCCAAUUUGAACCUUCUGGUAGAAUCAGGCCUAUCACUCGUUUUGAGCAAAUGCUUUGUCUUUGCCUCUCUCUUCUUUCUCGGCCCCUAUUCAACCGUGUAACUCGAUGAUCUAGGUGGUGUGUGCGAACAUCAAACAAACUUCUGGACUCCAAACGCCACCAUUCCAAGUUCUAUCAAGAUCCCAAGUUCCCUUCUCUCUUUCCCACUUCGAGUAGUCACUGUUUUCACAUUGUAUUGGUUUGUCCACCAGGAAAAAUUAGAGCCCGUUCUAGAAACCUUCUUAUUUUAUAAGUACUUAUUUUGUAUCUUUGUUCCACAAAACCAAAAUAAGCAGCUUAUUUUCACAUUUUCAAACACAAAAAUAUUAUAAAUAAAAAAUAAUUUUUCAAUUUUUUUUACACCGUAUUAAAGAUCUCAAUGAGAUCUAUCAAACAAGAUCCAUAGUGAUAGGAAAAUUAUUUGCGUAAGCACAUGAUUUUUGAGCUUGAAAUUACCUUUUUAAAAAAUAAGUACUUAUUUAUCCUUUUGUGGAACACACCUUAUUAUUAGACAAAAAAUAAGUUCUUAUUCCGGUUCUGGAACGGGCCCUUAAGAUCUUGACAAGGUCAUACUUCCACAUAUGUAAUGAUUACUGCUCUUCUCUUGUUACUGUUGGUCCAAAUAGCAACCCAAGAGGGGGGUGAA